GACAGUGCACACGGCAUCUGCCGAGUUAUCACUUAGCAGCCGCGUCCGCCGGUGAGCGCGAGGGCAGAGGACAGCUGACGAGCCGCAAGGAAACGUCAGGCCGCUCAAAAGAAGACCAGCCUGCCGUGUUGUAAACAUACUUCUUUAUUAAAGAUAAGAAAGUCCACCGAGCGGCGUGGCCAUAAAUUAAAGUCCUCCGUUGGAGCACAAAAGACAAGCGGGCGGCGGCCUCCCGAGAGCAAGCCAGCCGACGCCAAGCAAAAGUUGAACGCACGCGACCGGACCGCUUCGGCUGGAAAAUUUAGUGAAGAAAAAGCGCCCAGCGGCCCCAACGAAGCUUUGACUCACAAUGGAGGAGGCGAGGAACGGGAACGGCGGCCAGACGGUCGACUCUCGUCUGUUUCACUCCAUUCAGACCAAAAAAGGUUGGGUUUUUUGCGUGUGUUCGGAGCAGCGUCGUCACGGCAACCAGAGCCGAGCAUCAUCGCCUGAGAUCAAAUAGCGCUGACCCGUGCCGACAUUAGCAUCUAAUGAAGUUUGACUUUUUGAUUAGGGGGAGGAAAUGAAACAAGAUGAACUUUGAUUAAAGAUAACGAUUGGGAUUAAA